GGCGGUGUAGCUCAGUCUGGCAGAGCAGGGGAAUCAUAAUCCUCGUGUCGGGGGUUCAAAUCCCUCCGCCGCCA
rnacentral:tRNA from 1 species